GCCUACACAUGCAAGUCGAGCGCAGUCCUUCGGGACCGAGCGGCGGACGGGUUAGUAACGCGUGGGAACAUACCCUUUUCUACGGAAUAGCCUCGGGAAACUGAGAGUAAUACCGUAUAAGCCCUUCGGGGGAAAGAUUUAUCGGGAAAGGAUUGGCCCGCGUUAGAUUAGAUAGUUGGUGGGGUAAUGGCCUACCAAGUCUACGAUCUAUAGCUGGUUUUAGAGGAUGAUCAGCAACACUGGGACUGAGACACGGCCCAGACUCCUACGGGAGGCAGCAGUGGGGAAUCUUAGACAAUGGGCGCAAGCCUGAUCUAGCCAUGCCGCGUGUGUGAUGAAGGUCUUAGGAUCGUAAAGCACUUUCGCCAGGGAUGAUAAUGACAGUACCUGGUAAAGAAACCCCGGCUAACUCCGUGCCAGCAGCCGCGGUAAUACGGAGGGGGUUAGCGUUGUUCGGAAUUACUGGGCGUAAAGCGUACGUAGGCGGAUCAGAAAGUUAGGGGUGAAAUCCCGAGGCUCAACCUCGGAACUGCCUCUAAAACUCCUGGUCUUGAGUUCGAGAGAGGUGAGUGGAAUUCCAAGUGUAGAGGUGAAAUUCGUAGAUAUUUGGAGGAACACCAGUGGCGAAGGCGGCUCACUGGCUCGAUACUGACGCUGAGGUACGAAAGUGUGGGGAGCAAACAGGAUUAGAUACCCUGGUAGUCCACACCGUAAACGAUGAAUGCCAGUCGUCGGGCAGUAUACUGUUCGGUGACACACCUAACGGAUUAAGCAUUCCGCCUGGGGAGUACG
rnacentral:rRNA from 1 species